rnacentral:rRNA from 1 species
UACGUAGGGGGCAAGCGUUGUCCGGAAUCAUUGGGCGUAAAGAGCGCGUAGGCGGCCCUGUAAGUCCGCUGUGAAAGUCGAGGGCUCAACCCUUGGAUGCCGGUGGAUACUGCAGGGCUAGAGUCCGGAAGAGGCGAGUGGAAUUCCUGGUGUAGCGGUGAAAUGCGCAGAUAUCAGGAGGAACACCGAUGGCGAAGGCAGCUCGCUGGGACGGUACUGACGCUGAGGCGCGAAAGCGUGGGGAGCAAACAGG